rnacentral:rRNA from 1 species
UACGGGAGGUGCAAGCGUUGUUCGGAGUGACUGGGCGUAAAGCGCACGUAGGUGGGCUUGUAAGUCGGAUGUGAAAUCCCCGGGCUUAACCUGGGAACUGCAUCCGAAACUACAAGUCUUGAAUGCUUCAGAGGUUGGUAGAAUUCCAGGUGUAGGAGUGAAAUCCGUAGAUAUUGGGAAGAACACCAGUGGCGAAGGCGGCUAACUGGUCCAGAUCUGACGCUGAGGUGCGAAAGCGUGGGGAGCAAACAGG